CCCUUAGAUGUCUUGGGCAGCACGCGUAUUACAAUGUUAGUGUUAACGAGAUGUGAGUUUAGGAUUCAUCCUUAACUUCCAAGUCUCUGGGAAACCACUUAAACGACAAGGGAAUCUUUUAAUUGCUAACGUGACUGGGAUUGUCCGUUGUAACAUGGACAUGAACGAGGAAUUCCUAGUAAGUGCAGAUCACUAAUCUGUACUGACUACGUCCCUGUUCUUUGUACACACCGCCCGUCGCUCCUACCAAUGGAAUGGUAAGAUGAAAGACACGGAUCCGCUCUUCGGAGCAGGGAAAUUGAUUAAAUCUUCCCGUUUGGAGGAAGGAGAAGUCGUAACA
rnacentral:rRNA from 1 species